rnacentral:rRNA from 1 species
CCUACGGUGGCAGCAGUGGGGAAUAUUGGACAAUGGGCGAAAGCCUGAUCCAGCCAUGCCGCGUGUAUGAAGAAGGCCUUCGGGUUGUAAAGCACUUUCAGUGGGGAAGAAAGCCUUGGGGCUAAUACCCUCGAGGAAGGACAUCACCCACAGAAGAAGCACCGGCUAACUCCGUGCCAGCAGCCGCGGUAAUACGGAGGGUGCGAGCGUUAAUCGGAAUUACUGGGCGUAAAGCGCGCGUAGGCGGUCUGAUAAGCCGGUUGUGAAAGCCCCGGGCUCAACCUGGGAACGGCAUCCGGAACUGUCAGGCUAGAGUGCAGGAGAGGAAGGUAGAAUUCCCGGUGUAGCGGUGAAAUGCGUAGAGAUCGGGAGGAAUACCAGUGGCGAAGGCGGCCUUCUGGACUGACACUGACGCUGAGGUGCGAAAGCGUGGGUAGCAAACAGGAUUAGAUACCCCAGUAGUC